rnacentral:rRNA from 1 species
AACGAACGCUGGCGGCAGGCUUAACACAUGCAAGUCGAACGCACCUUUCGGGGUGAGUGGCAGACGGGGGAGUAACGCGUGGGAAUCUACCCUUCUCUACGGGAUAGCUCCGGGAAACUGGAAUUAAUACCGUAUACGUCCUGAGGGAGAAAGAUUUAUCGGGGAAGGAUGAGCCCGCGUUGGAUUAGCUAGUUGGUGGGGUAAAGGCCUACCAAGGCGACGAUCCAUAGCUGGUCUAAGAGGAGGAUCAGCCACAUUGGGACUGAGACACGGCCCAAUCUGGUACGCGAGGGAGCAGUGGGGAAUAUUGGAGGAGGGGGGCAAGCCUGAUCCAGCCAUGCCGCGUGAGAGAUGAAGGCCCUAGGAUUGUAAAGCUCUUUCAGUGGGGACGAUAAUGACGGUACCCACAGAAGAAGCCCCGGCUAACUUCGUG